CACAUUUUUUUAUUAUGUGUUCAGAGUGGGCAAUUCCGUUCAGCCGGUUGUCUAAAUAAAUACCUAAAAAAUUUACUUUAUCUGUCAGGUUGAUUGCUUGAUUUUCAAAUGAAAUGGGUAGAGUAGGAAUGUAUCUCUUGUAAACACCACUGCCUGAGAUUUGCCAGCUGACAGGGACAAGCCGUGGUCAGACAACCACUGGCCUAGAUAAUACAAAGCAGAAUUGUUAUGACAGGAUACAUCCCCUAUACUGCCUGAGCUGUGAUAGAGGACAAUAUCAUCAGCAUAUUGUAAGAUGUUACAAAAACUGGUGACAGACAGUUCGAGGUUGUGGGUAUAAAUACUAGAGAGCAGAGUACUGAGCCUUGAGGGAGACCUUUCCAGACUAGUCUGGGUGGAAGAGAGGCAGUGGUGAUGUUAGUGUAGGCAUGUCACCAUCUGGUUGGUGCUGGGUUGUAACUGGGCGUAGAGUUCUGGCCCAGCCUCAGGAGCUGACAGGUUCAUCAGGGCCAGUAGCUGCUUGUGAGCUCACUUUACCCCACACACAAAGCUGACCUUGUUUUUAUCUUCUAUGAAAAUGAUGAACAGACUGUACCUUCCUGUGUUGGGGUUUCACCUGAAGGAAUUGUUUGUUACUGGUCAUCAGUAGGGCAUGAGGGUGCAUACAGUGAAGUAAGCUGUGAAAUUGCAGGGCAAGAAUGUGAUCGAUUAGUAUCAAGAGUAGAUGACACUGAUACCACUUUGGGAUUGUUACUUCUUGCAACUACAACUUGUACUUUAGUCAAGAUAUCUACUAAUGGAGGUAAAUUUCAUUUAAAAAAAUCAAUCAGUGAGAAAAAGAAAUCUAUUUAUGUA